rnacentral:rRNA from 1 species
AGUGAACGCUGGCGGUAGGCCUAACACAUGCAAGUCGAACGGCAGCACAGUAAGAGCUUGCUCUUACGGGUGGCGAGUGGCGGACGGGUGAGGAAUACAUCGGAAUCUACUUUUUCGUGGGGGAUAACGUAGGGAAACUUACGCUAAUACCGCAUACGACCUACGGGUGAAAGCAGGGGAUCUUCGGACCUUGCGCGAUUGAAUGAGCCGAUGUCGGAUUAGCUAGUUGGCGGGGUAAAGGCCCACCAAGGCGACGAUCCGUAGCUGGUCUGAGAGGAUGGUCAGCCACACUGGAACUGAGACACGGUCCAGACUCCUACGGGAGGCAGCAGUGUGGAAUAUUGGACAAUGGGCGCAAGCCUGAUCCAGCCAUACCGCGUGGGUGAAGAAGGCCUUCGGGUUGUAAAGCCCUUUUGUUGGGAAAGAAAAGCAGCAGGUUAAUACCCCGCUGUUCUGACGGUACCCAAAGAAUAAGCACCGGCUAACUUCGUG